UUCUGCAAGGUGCUUUCACAGAAAGCCAAUUGUACCCUUGAAAAUGACGUUCUGAGUCCCAAAGGGGCAAGAGUGAGGCUUUAGAUCCCAUGGGAAAGCCAGAAGGCAUUGGUUCUAGUGGCUUUGGGAGGUGCCAAAGCUCUUUCUCUGGAGACCUAAGAACAAAACAGAUCAGGCAGGUUGCUAAUGAAACGAAAAAGACACGCUGAGCGUCUGAGCGAUUCACUUGGGCUUUAGUUCCCAGUGAGUCAUAGAAGGCUAAGCCCAGCGAAAAGUUCAUAUUGGGAGACUGGAACAAGAGCUGCUGCGGGAACAAGACUAACACCUUCCUAGAAGCAAAAGGACCACUUUUUUCCAGCUAGAAAAAUCUGGUGGAAGAAGGGAUGGAAAAAGAGUUUGGUGAAGGAGGUCUCUUCCGGACCAUCCGGUUUGGUGACAAGUUUCUGGAGUGGCGCAGGGGAACAGUACUGAGCUGCCAUGCCAGACCACACGGAUGACCAGGAGCUCGAAUCCCAAGCUGACCUGAGACACACCAGAAUGGAGAAACUGAGGCACAGAGUCGGUCAAUAACUUGCCUGAGGUCACGCAGAGGGUGUGUGGUCAAGCCUCCUGACAUCUGAGCUGAACAAUGCUUCUGGACUCAGGAGAAGGGAGAGAAAUGUGAGGCUUGGUAGCCAGGAAGGCAUCCUGGUGGAGGUGGAGACAGGAAGCUAGACAGACAUCUGAAGAGAUGGCUGAAGCUGGGGUAGGCCAUAA